GCGGGAAAGUUUUAAAACAAAGAACUGGCUGAACCAAGUCGUCACGGAAACAACACGCAAAAGCAAAUUACUUACUUUUUUGCAGGUGGGCUGAAUUGAAAGAGUGGCGGGAAAGUUGGUGAACAAAGAUCUGGUUCAUCUAUCUUAGAGCUCAUUUUAACCAAGUCGGCAUGGAAACAAUUCACAAAAGCAAAUGACUUGCUAUUGUUUCAAAGAGCUAUUUAGGUGAACAGCAUCUUUGGUUCGUCAUCAUCAGCAGUGAAAGCUUAACCAUCGCCUCCUGCCUUUAGUGUCACAUUUUGUGACUUUUUGUUUUCACUGUCACACACACACACACACACACACACACACACACACACACACACACACACACACACACACACACACACACACACACACACACACACACACACACACACACACACACACACAUUGCUUCCUGCCUCAGAGAAAAGAUUUGAUCCUUUUUGUAGGACCUAUAACAGCUGAAAUAAAUAAAAAGCUGUUUAUGAGGUUUGUUUUUUGGGAGGGGUGGAUUAGUAAAGUCUCAGAGCAGACGUACCUCUGGUCAAACCUUUAAUGUCAUACCUCUCAGAAUAGUUAAACUAAGGCACAUGCAUGUCGUAAACGGAUUUACACACGAGUGAAGGAGCUGCUACAUUUUAUCCAUUAUUAAGGAAACAUGAGUGAAGAAGAAGAAGAAGAACCGAUGGAUACGUGUUUUGAAUAUAGCCUUCCUCUGCUAAAAACAACGUUCGAAUUGAGACAUGAUGAGAUUGGCUUGACAACGCAACAGAUUUUUCAUAAGCGAUUUCAGGAAGAAAUGUCCGGUACAAAACCGGUCCGGUAUUAUUUUUUGGAUCGUAAAGGUUUUUUUAUUUCUGCUCCUGGGAGUUUUGAAGAAGCAAUGGAUACGAGUUAAACACACACACACACACACACACACACGCACGCACGCACGUACGCACGCACGCACUCACACACACACACACACACACACACACACACACACACACACACACACACACACACACACACACACUCACACACACACACACACACACACACAACUCUAAACACCCAUUCAGACAUUUGUCUACCUAUACAACAAAGCAAAUGACUAUGUAUUGUUUAUAAACAUUUUUUUUUUCGACCAAUCGCAACCGUUUUCUAUUCAAGAUUUUUUUAAACAGCUGUAUAAAAUGUAAAACCGCAUUUUCGGAGUCGUGAUUUGAGGUGUAACAAGCUAAGAUGACGGGUAAGUUUUUAACUUAAGACGCAAAUCUUUUUUUCUCUUUCUGGUUUAACAUCUUUAUUUUCAGACGCUAUUGUCAUAUCGGACGGCGAGUGGGAAGAAAUUCCUAUUGAGGAAUUAACUUGUAAAACUCCGGUACCUUUUCCCCUGGAUGAUUUGUCUAAAAUUAACCGUGCGGUCGACAAUCUGAGUGAGUGGAUUUUAUAAAUAUAUACGUAACGUUCUUUUCUUCAGCUGAGAAAUAUCUCAUUUUACAGAAAAGGAGGGGGUUCAACCUUACCCCGGAAGUGAUAACUUUUACCCAACCACGCCUCCAUCCACCAGCCGAACCGUCUUACAUUCGUAUCAGCCCAGCCAGACCGUCAGAUCACACGCGAAUGCGAACGCGAAAGCUGUUCGUUACAGGACCAUCACGCCACAGACGAUCCUCGAAGCUGGUAAGUGAUUACAAAAUAGCGAUUAAUAAGUCAGAGAUGUGUCGUUCAUAUUUAUCGUUUUUAUUCUCCAGAGCAACGGUCGACGGCCUACGCACCCCCAAUAUCUCAGCCCCCACCACCUCCAACCCCUUCUCAUGCGCAGACGGAUGAACAACAUCCGACAGCCGCUUCAAUAUCUCCGCCCACACCUCCUCCUCCUCCUCCUCCUCCCCCUUCUCCUGCACAGGAACAAUCCGACAGCGACUCUGAAACCGCUGAACGUGCUCCUGAGCAGCCAGCCGGUAAGCUGUUUCACAAAACCGCUCCGCAGAGUAUAUUAAAUUUUGAAGUAAAAAAGAUGAUGUUUUUUAUCCUUUCAGAACAACCCACGACGG